CACCCCCUUUUCACUUUGCCAGUUGGACUUAUAUCUUUAUUGAUCAUUCAAGUGGAGCAAAGGCAAAAAGCUCAGGGGAACUGAGUAUUUGUUUUAUAAAUCAGAGGAAACAAAC
rnacentral:snoRNA from 1 species